GACGAACGCUGGCGGCGUGCUUAACACAUGCAAGUCGAACGGAAAGGCCCUGCUUUUGUUGCAUGCUCGACUGGCGAACGGGUGAGUCACGCGUGAGUAACCUUCCCUUGACUUUUGAGUAACUUCAACAGACUCUGGCUCAUACCAUAUCGUAUCUCCUGCUGCAUGUUGGGGGAUGGAUAUUUUGGGCGGUGGGGGAUGGACGCGCGGCUUAUCAGUUUGUUGGGUGGGGAGCGGCUUACCAAGGCUUUGGCGGGUAGCCGGCCUGAGUGAGUGACCGGCCACAUUGGGAGUGAGAGAGGGACGGGACAGCUUCGGGAGGGAGGAGGCGGGAAUAAUGCACGAUGGGCGGAAGCCAGACGGAGGAACGCCGCGUGCGGGAGGACGGCCGUCGGGUUGGAAACCGCUUUCGCUUGUGACGAAGGGUGAGGGACGGUAGUGGGUAAAGAAGCACCGGCUAACUACGUG
rnacentral:rRNA from 1 species